UCCCUGAACACGUUUACAGAAACGCCUUUCACCCAACAGGAAGUCGGCCAUUAUAAACAGGAAGUACCCUCUAACUUUGCGCAGGGACACUGCUGAAAAUAACUAGGACUGAAAAUAACUAGUACCGCAAAUUUCUCUUGUGUUUAUUACAGUUCCUGUUUUAAUGUUUCCUACUUUUCUUAAUCAGCUUUACAAAACUAAAUAAAACUUUUUUUUCUUUGGACCAGCUCUGCCUGCACUGGCCGACCUCCAGCUCGCCCCACUGGAGCAUCAGGAGGUGCAGGUGGCGUGGAAGGCCCAUCGAGAUGGAGUGAAAGGUUACUGGCUCAACUGGGAGAAAGGAAACUCCCCAAAAACCGCCUCAAAAUCCUCCUUCUUCCUGUCUCCUACGUCUCACUCAAUGCGGCUCUCACACUUUGGCCAGAGUGGCCGAGUGUGUGUGUCUCCAGUGUACAGCUCGGGACGAGGUGACGGAUUCUGCUGCGCAGCAAACAGUCACACAGAUUCCGGCCACUGGGGUAAACAGUGAGAGAGUCUGCAGAAUAACGCACGGAUGAAAUCGUGCUGGAUGCAUCAGAAUUGUUAUUUAUUCAGUGUAGUUUAGUUUUAAUGUAGAAAUAAAUUAUUAUGUCGGAAAAAGCUUUAUCGCUUCACUCCAGCUCUCUGUCCUUACAAUGCAAAAUUUACUUCUUGUUUUCCUCAUGCAAGUGAAAAUAUCACGUUGCUGUUAUUAUAUAUGUACUAAAUGUGUUUUAAAGCAAAUGAAAUGAAUUGAAUUCAUAAGGAGGUUUUUAUAAAAAUAUAAUUACACUGUGGCCAUGUGCAUUGGGUUUGUUGUUCUUUUGCAGGGAAUAAAAGGAACACACACACACAUCUGUAUUCAAAUCUGUAGCACUCUUUAUGUUACUUGGUUGUUUAUGGGGCCAUCUAGUGGUGUCAGACUGUAAACACAUUUCUAUUUAAAGAAGUGGUAAAGCACAUUUUUAUCCUGCUACUUCACAUAAAUGUUUAGAAUGAGUUCAGGUCUUUAAGUAUGCCCAAAUCCAUUAAGAGGGGGUGUAGAUAACAUUAAUUGAAAUAGGAAAUAGGAUAGACACAGCUGAAAAAGUGCUUUGUUAUUCAAAGAUACACGGCUAUCAAAUGAUGAAUGUCCAGAUACAGUUACAUACAAUGUUAAAUACAAUUGAGUAUUUGCAUUACCAGUAAAAACCUCAAAAGAA